UACGUAGGCAGCGAGCGUUGUUCGGAGUUACUGGGCGUAAAGGGUGUGUAGGCGGUUGUUUAAGUUUGGUGUGAAAUCUCCCGGCUCAACCGGGAGGGUGCGCCGAAUACUGAAUGACUUGGAGUGCGGGAGAGGAAGUGGAAUUCCUGGUGUAGCGGUGAAAUGCGUAGAUAUCAGGAAGAACACCUAUGGCGAAGGCAGCACUCUGGGACGGUACUGACGCUGAGACGCGAAAGCGUGGGGAGCGAACAGG
rnacentral:rRNA from 1 species